rnacentral:rRNA from 1 species
CCUACGGGGGGCAGCAGUGAGGAAUAUUGGUCAAUGGGCGGGAGCCUGAACCAGCCAAGUCGCGUGAGGGACGACGGUCCUAUGGAUUGUAAACCUCUUUUGUCGGGGAACAAAGGCGUCCACGGGUGGGCGGAUGAGUGUACCCGAAGAAAAAGCAUCGGCUAACUCCGUGCCAGCAGCCGCGGUAAUACGGAGGAUGCGAGCGUUAUCCGGAUUUAUUGGGUUUAAAGGGUGCGUAGGCGGACAGUCAAGUCAGCGGUAAAAAUGCGGUGCUCAACGCCGUACAGCCGUUGAAACUGGCGUUCUUGAGUGAGCGAGAAGUAUGCGGAAUGCGUGGUGUAGCGGUGAAAUGCAUAGAUAUCACGCAGAACUCCGAUUGCGAAGGCGGCUUACUGGAUUAUAACUGACGCUGAGGCUCGAAAGCGUGGGUAGCAAACAGGAUUAGAUACCCGAGUAGUC